CAAUGAUUCUGAUAUUGUUUCUUCUGGAUCUAUUUUCCAGGGCUACACUGAAGCACUGUGGUGGUCUGGCCACUGGCUGCCUGUUUGACCAGGGCUAUGCUGAAGCACAUAGUGGUUCUCAGAACUAAGGUCUGACAGUUACCCUGGCUUUCCUGAGAACAACAUUGGCUUCAUGAAAAAGGUGGCAAUUAAACUGGGUCUUGAAAGAAGAAAAGAAUUUUGUCAGGUAGUUCUAAUCUAUCCCAUCACGAUAAGAACCACAUCCAGAAUUGAGCCCUUCCUCAUAAGGAAAAAAAACAGGAAGAGAACAUUUCCAAGUGUCAAGAGGAUGUCAGACAUCUACCCAUCAGGAUCUUAAUCAGCAUCUCCAGAUCAGCUGGAAGUAGUGUCUGCCUUUUCAGGGGCCAAGAACAGUUUGAAUUUAUGGCUUUACAUGGAGCCCAGCAAAGAGACUAUGUCACACCUAAGGAGAACUUCAUGAGCAAUCCAAGAAUGGGAUAAAAGUACUUCCAUCUACUUCCAGGAGUUGAGUACAUCUUUGCCUCAUGUACUCUCUCAGGUGGAGCCAACAUUCCCCUAGGAUCUAAAUGUACUUGUGACAGAGUUUGGGGGGGGGGAUGCUUUGUACCAACUGUGCUCAUUGUACCACCUUAACAAAUAUUCCUUUCUAAAAAGCUUGCUGACUAAAAUGAUAAAUGUGGGAAAAGCAUACUACUGGGGUCUUGAACUAAUGGCAUUAGAAAAUUAUUCCUGACCCCCUCAGGGAUACCUCUAGAAUUCUGAGGGGAGAUUUGGCCAGUCUAGCUCUGGGAGCACAUAUGAUGAUCUGUAAAAAAAGGGAGUUGGGAUAAGAAUGUUUCAGAGCUAAUAGCUAAAAUACAAUAAUUAUUAUUUGUCUCAUCUAAUUUAUAAUAAAAUUAUCCAGGUGAGAAGUAACAAUGGCCUGAACUAUAGUGAUGACAGUGUAAAAGGAGAGAAGGGAAUACAUAUAGGAGAUAUUGUGGAGAUAGAAAUGACAGGAUGUAUCUGGUAGGACAAAGGAUCAUAGGAUCAUAGAUCCUGUGUUAGAAGGGUCCUCCAAGGCCAUCUAGUCCAAUGGCCCUGGAUAAAACGCUAAACUUACUACACAGAGACACAUCUCCUUAAGGAGCUUGUGUGCUAUUUUAUUAAAAUCACCUAUAUAAUUUAACAUGUCAUUGUCAAAAGACAUUGGUCCUUCAUAUAGAUUUUAUUUAUCCUAACAAUCCGCAGCAAAAAUUCUGGGUAAUUCUAUUUCUACAGAGCUCCUACCUGCAAAAUGCAGGACUAUUGAAUAAGAAUAAAAAUAUAAGUACAAUAAUUUUUAGUCAGAGCCAUAACUAGGGUAGAGACACCAGGGCCUUUCCACAAGGUGUCUACAUUUAGAAUGUUCACUUUCUCCUCAGUGGUUUUAUCUCCCAUGAGCUAUCUACCAAAUACUCUACCAUCACAGAAUUUCACAGUUCUCUAGUUGGCUUGAAUUGUGUAAUAAAACCUUAGUUCUUCAUCUUGCAUCUGCCCAAACAGGAUCCCAUCACCAUAAUGCUUCCCUCCCAGGACUCCUUCCACCUCCAAGCUUGGCAGGGGAACUGGUAGUAUUUUCUGGUUGACGGACUGCACAUUUUCCAGAUUAAGGGCACCUAAAGUUAGUCUGUCCUUUACCUCAUCACUGCAAUCCCUCUUUAUUUCCUAUCUCUUCCCUUCAUUUGAUAUUCUCUUUACCAGUGUCAGUCCUAAGAGGCUAUACUCCACACAUGCCCUUCACACAUGUACCUCACACUGGGUAAAAGGUUUCCUAGCUAUGCCUCUAUCUGUAGUUACCAUUAUACCUCUGGAUGGGUUUUCUUUUCAUUUGUUUGAGGAAGGGCUUGCCCCUACUUGUUAUAUAAAAAAAAAAUUCUCAAAUUCAAAAAUUAUAGUUGUGCUUUAACCAUUUUCUCAAUUAAUUUUUCAUG